rnacentral:misc_RNA from 1 species
UGAAAUGUUAUCCAUAAUUAUUAUUACUAUUCACUUUUAUUUAGCAACAUGCAUGAGAAUAUACAUAUAUAUAGUUGCUUUGCUAUUAUUUAAUAUUAGUGAAUAGUUAAAUAAUAAUUGAUACAACUGAAUUAACGGUGAUAUUCGUUGGUGUCUAUACUUUAUCCAAAUUAUCGCCUAAACCGUCGAUAAUGAUGAAGAUAAAGCGAUAGCUUAAUUAAUUUUUUAUGAAAAUUAAUUAAGUAGACUUAAUAAGCAAUUAUGCUAAAUAUGCUACCAACAAAUAAAUACACACAUACAUAUACUAAUUGUAAUUAUUGAAAAAAACAUUAAAGAAAUUUUUAACUCUUAGCGGUGGAUCACUUGGCUCAUGGAUCGAUGAAGAACGCAGCUAGCUGCG